AUGAUGCACAGAAAAAUGCCAACCCUGGUUCCACUGGCACAAGCUUCACCUUCAUUCACUGGAGCCUCAGCCCAUAGCCACCCAGGGAGGCAGGCAGGGUGGUGUUAACCUUCCCAUCUCACAAAUGAGAAAACUGAAUUGGCAUAUAAAUGAUUUGUACAUGGUUAAGAGUUAAGACUUGAACCCAGGACUUCUGACCAACUCCAGUACUUUUUUUUUGCAAGAAUUUAUGUUCUGAAAAGAUCUCAAGCUAACCCACAUGGCCUGGACAGCAGCCUUUUCCACUUGCCUCCUCCAACCUGCAGUCUGAAUUCCAUUACCAGGACAGGGCUUGCCCCAGGGAGGGGACCUCCUUCUAGAGCAUUCAAUGAAGCUGCAAGAUUGAGAAGAGUAUUCUGCAUCUUUUUAAAUGACAAAAUAAACUGUUCAGGUAUCCACUGUUAAGGUAGAGGGGAAUGUGGUGUUGCAAGAAGAAAAUUGCCCUGCUAGCACAGAUAUGAGAAGACAACAACUCCCAGAGCAUGCAGUCAGCACCAUUACUUUCCCUUAACUCCCCAAGGUGCCCUCCUUGCAUUUAUCUUUCUCUCCUACAUUGACCUUCACUGGAGAAUAAAAAUUAGAGACAGUGA
rnacentral:lncRNA from 1 species